UACGUAGGUGGCGAGCGUUGUCCGGAAUCACUGGGCGUAAAGGGCGCGUAGGCGGCUUGACAAGUCGCAUGUGAAGGACCAGGGCUCAACCCUGGGAGGUCAUGCGAAACUGUCUGGCUUGAGUGCAGUAGAGGUAAGCGGAAUUCCUGGUGUAGCGGUAAAAUGCGUAGAGAUCAGGAGGAACACCGGUGGCGAAGGCGGCUUACUGGGCUGCAACUGACGCUGAUGCGCGAAAGCGUGGGGAGCAAACAGG
rnacentral:rRNA from 1 species